rnacentral:sRNA from 1 species
GAAUUAAUAUUCAAACAGAUCUCAGUCAUAAUUUUCAGUCACCCAAAUUGUAACAGUUACAAAUUUUCUGUUAAGAAUGUGUGAAUCUUGUGAAAACUGCUCCAAUGAAUCGUGCAUAGAUUUUUUUGCAUCAUGGAACAUAAUCUGGGGUAUUAUUUUUUUCUUGCCGUGCUUUUUCUCUUUAAUCGAAUUGCAUUAUGAGAAAGCAGGGAACACGAUAUUCUACCUUGUUCUUUUCUAUAUUUUCGGUCUCAUUGCGGCACUACACACGCUGUCUGGAAUAUUUAUAAUAAUUGGAGAUUGGAAGGAUAGUGCACUUUUGUUCAAAUGUGGACUAAUUCUGAGCAAUCCAUUUCCAAUCAUCGCAUUCGGGACUGUAUUUUUACCGAUUGUCCACGUAAUUGCCUUGAUACGACUCUGCAAAGUUGCCGGCUCGCGCUGGAAAUGAUUUUCUGCCAUUCGUCACCUUUUUCCACUUGCUUCAGACCAAAAUCCACCGUCUUCAGUGUUCUGGAAGCCCAACAGUAGCGCUACCACGAAUAUCUGCUCGCUUAAGUAUUCAAAAUUGUGAAAGUAUGAAAUAUAUGAAUUGUGUACAGCCUCACA